rfam:Zootermopsis nevadensis contig17959, whole genome shotgun sequence.
GCCACGGUGGUCUAGCGGCCAGAACACUAGCCUUGUAAUCCUGGGGUCUCGGGUUCGAUUCCCGGCGGUGCCC